GAGGAAAAUGAGAUUUUCUUAAUGGUCGGGAGGUAAAUCAGCAAUUUAGGGACAUGGAUGUCCCGAAAAGUCCGCUAUGAGCCCGGAUGGCGAAUUGCGGAUGGUUGCGUAAAGUCUGACAGUCUUCCUUAAGGACAUUUAGAAAAUCCAUUUUCCGAAGU
rnacentral:ncRNA from 1 species